AUGUGGCCAGGGUGGGACUUCAGGGCUCACCUACUUCUGGACUCUCCCCUCUCCUGCUCCCCUCAGCUCUGGAAGCAUCUGAAGAGCUCCUUGCGGAUUCUUUUCCAUCAUUUUUUCCCCAAAGGUGAGUGGGCCCCAGCAUGGGCUCAAGGGGAUGUGGGUCUGUCUCCUUUCUUCUAUCCCUCUCCCCAUUCUCAGCCUCCCAGGAACCCAGCCUUGUUCAUCCCACCUUUCCCUGCAGACAAGCAACCCAGCUGUAUAGGCAGUCAUCCCAUGUGUAUGCGCUGCUCCGUGGAUCCCAAGAACCUGUUCUCAAGAGUCUCUUCCCGCUUCCAUCAUCACCCAAGCCUCCUGCUCGGGCACCCUAAACACCUCGACUCCUGGAUACCAGACACGAAUGAUGAGAAAGCUUCUAGGUGCUGCUGCAUGCCACCUCAGUAUGGACAGGCCAGGGCUCCCGUGGAGGCUCCAUGGGGACUAUGGAAGGAGGGGAUGAUGGGAGUUGGGGAGGCCUCUCAGGUCCCAGCCUUAAAGACCCAAGCCACCUUUAUCUCCAAGCAAGAGACAUCUUCCCAGUUCCCCAGGAUGAGCAAGUUGGACACGGUUCCACUCCACUUGCCCCAGAAGAGCAAGACUAAGACCCCAGACUAUGAUCCAAUCCAUGCCCCGACCCAGGCCCCAACCCACUCCCCAGUCCACCCCCCGGAGCACACCCACCCCCAGGUUCAGAUCCGCUCCCAAGACCACCACCCUGAGCACACACCCACCCAGGCCCAGACCCACUCCACAGGCCACACAACUGAGCACACCCCAACCCAGGCCCAGACCCACUCCCCAGGCCACCCGUCUGAGCACACCCCUGCCCAAGCACAGAACCGCUACCCAGGCCACCCGCCUGAGCACACCCACCCCAAAGUUCAGAUCUGCUUCCCAGGCCACUCCCCUGAGCACACCCCUGCCCAGGCCCAGACCCACUGCCCAGGCCACCCCCCUGAGCGCACCCACCCCAAGGUUCAGAUCUGCUCUCCCAGCCAUCCCCCUGAGCACACCCCCGCCAAGGCCCAGGGCCCUGAGCACACCUCAGUCCACACCCUGGGCCACAGUCCUGAGCACAUAACAGUCCACACUCCAGCCCGCACCCUGGCCCAGGCUCAUCUAAACUAUACCCACACCCAUACCCUGAUCCCUGCCCCAACCUCUGUCCCAGCCCCUCCUCCAACUUCUGCCCCUGCUCCUGUCCCUGCCACCACCCCUACUCACAUCCUAACUCCUAUUCCCUCUCCCCCGGCUGCCUUCAGCCAAGGCCUCUCCACUGGCCAUGUGGUCUACAAUGCCCGCAGGGUUAGGCAGAACUUAUUCCAUGUGUGCCCCCCGCCAAACUCUGAAUAUUCCAGAAAGUACUUGGGCACCCUUUCCAGGCCCCAAGAGGGACAGGGCCCAGUGAGCUCUGGUACAGCUAAGCCAACAUUGAACCAACGUAGUGAGGACAGUGCCAAGCCCUCCACAGGAUCCAUACUGGGUUACCUGGAGUUGGGGAAUAUGGAAUGGAAGAUCUCAAAUGAUGCCAAAGACAAGUUCUUACAGCCCAAGACCUUCCCUUACUGCAGCUUCCAUCCUUGCAGUUCUGAGAGGAGAAACACAGACUCCCAAGCUCCAGUCUACCCCAAAUUCCUGGUCUACUCCGAGGAUGCUACACCUUCUCAACCUUGCUUUCAUUCUCCAACCAAUGCCCGGAGCUCACCAUGCACCAUUCCUCCACCAUGCACUCUUUCUCUGCCUCUUGUUUCUCCCAGAUCCUUUGUCCUUCAUCAAGCUGCCAACAACCAGAAGCCCUCCACCAUAAUACAAACGCCUACCUCUCCCCCAACCUCCACGUCUACUCAGUCUGUCCCCUCUUCCCAGUUUCCCAUCCCUCUGCAGUUCUCCACCAUUUCCCAACCCCCAAUCCAACCCCAAUCUCCUGAAUUUCAUGAGAGUCUAGGCCUCACCCAAGACUCUGGCCUCCAAAGGACCCCAAGCCCUUCAAAAGACUCUAAAGUUCCCAGGAACCCAGGUCUUACCCAAAAUCCAGGCCUGCACAAGAACCCAGGCCUUACCCAAAAUCCAGGCCUGCACAAGAACCCAGGCCUUACCCAAAAUCCAGCCCUCUACAAGAACCCAGGCCUUGUUCAAGAUCCAGGCCUACGUAAGCGCCCAGGCCCUACCCAAGACUCUAGCCUUCACAAGAAUCCAGUCAUUACGCAAGAUUGUGGCCCCCAAAAGAGCCUAGAUCCUACCCAAGAUGCAGGUAUCUUUAGGAGCACAUGUCUCACCCAAGACUCUAGCCUUCACAAGAAUCCAGUCAUUACGCAAGAUUGUGGCCCCCAAAAGAGCCUAGAUCCUACCCAAGAUGCAGGUAUCUUUAGGAGCACAUGUCUCACCCAACACUCUGGCCUCCACAAGAACACACCAUUUCCCCAAACUUCUGACAUUCAGAGGACCUCAGGCUUUAUGCAAGAGACUGGAGUUUCUAGGAAUCUAGAAGGAAACCAAGAGACUGUACUCUACGAAAGUCAAGAUCUCUCCCAAAAAACUGGUCUCCAAAACAUCCCAGGCCCUUCUAAAGAAUGUGGAGGUUACAAGAGUGCAGGAAAUGACCAAGAUCCAGGAGUCUAUGGGAGUCUAGGCCUUACCCAAGAUUCUGACCCCCAGAAGAACCCAUACUUUCCCCAAGACUCUGGAGUCAACAAGAGCUCAGGCCUUUCCCAGGAAUCUGGUCUCCACAAGAGCCCAGGCCUUGUCCAAACCUCUGGCCUCCAUAAGGGCUCAGGCCUUACCCAAGACUCAGGAGACUACAAGAAUCCAGAGACUACAAGAGACAAUAAGAAUACUCAAGGUUCUGGAGUCUACAGGAGCCUGGGCCCUACUCAAGAUUCUGACCUCCAUAAGAAUCUACAUCCUACCCAAGUCACUGAAGUUGAAAGGAAAUGUGGUCUUACCCAAGAUGUUGGAACUCAGAGGAGCCCAGAACAUACCCAAGACCCCAAAUGCCACAAGAACCCAGGAAUUAAUCAAGAUCCUGGCCCCCAUAAGGGCCCAGCCCUUACCCGAGACUCUGGCCUCCCCAAGACUCAAGGCCAUACCAAGGAAUCAGGCCUCCACAAGGACACAUGCCUUAUCCCAAAUCCUGACCUCCACAAGAACCCAUACCUUGCUCCAGGUACUGAGUCUGUCCAAGUCUUGGGCCCACCUCAGACCGCAAAGUCAACACUGUCCCCGAUGAAGUCAUCUGUAUCUGUGGAGACUCCUCAGAAGGAGGAUGCAGAGCAGCACAUACUAUGGACUUCUGUCCCACUCAGCCCGAACUCCUGCUCUUCCAAGGCGCAGGUGAUCUACAAUGACCUGCAAACCUUCUCAGAGGUACCUGUACUAAUUGAGCUGCAACCAUUGUCUCGGCGAGCAGGUAGCCAAGACUGGAUGUACCACCCUGUGGAUACUAUUCCUCCAGCCUGCCAGAACUAUCGCCAGAUGUCUAUGCCUCCCCAAAUCAACUGGAAGCCCCACUGUCCCGGGCAAGGCACCCGGGUAGGACAGGUGGUCUUUGAUGCCCGCCAGAGACAGUUUGGAGUGGGCAGGGACAAGUGUGAAGCUCCAUCUCUCAGGCGCCUUCGCCAAGAGGUACCCAGCAAAUCACCAGAGACCAUCAAGGAGUGGGGAUAUCAGUGUGUGAUGAGAACCUCGGAAAAAGAGAGGACAAAUGUGCAUCAGGAAUAA
rnacentral:lncRNA from 1 species